GCCGCGGUAAAACCAGCACCUCAAGUGGUCAGGAGGAUUAUUGGGCCUAAAGCAUCCGUAGCCGGCUCUGUAAGUUUUCGGUUAAAUCCAUGUGCUCAACGCAUGGGCUGCCGAAAAUACUGCAUAGCUAGGGAGUGGGAGAGGUAGACGGUACUCGGUAGGAAGGGGUAAAAUCCUUUGAUCUAUCGAUGACCACCUGUGGCGAAGGCGGUCUACCAGAACACGUUCGACGGUGAGGGAUGAAAGCUGGGGGAGCAAACCGGAUUAGAUACCCGGGUAGUCCCAGCUGUAAACGAUGCAGACUCGAUGAUGCAUUGGCAUAUAGCCAGUGCAGUGUCGCAGGGAAGCCGUUAAGUCUGCCGCCUGGGAAGUACGUACGCAAGUAUGAAACUUAAAGGAAUUGGCGGGGGAGCACGGUCAUACUU
rnacentral:rRNA from 2 species